rfam:Jatropha curcas cultivar GZQX0401 scaffold334_6, whole genome shotgun sequence.
AGGCCAUGGUGUGGGCAAACUUGUUGAAGUUCUUUAUAGCGAUCCCAUGCUUCAUAUAGGGAUUCAUUUUCAUGUUGGGUGAAUGAGGUUAUUUCUUUAAUAAGCCU